rnacentral:rRNA from 1 species
CAACAGUACGUGAAACCGCAUAGAGGUAAACGGGUGGAUCCGCAAAGUCGGCCCGCGGAAUUCAGCUCGGAAGGCUGCGCGCCUGCCGCCGGGUAGGAGAUCGCAAGACUCUCCUGGCGUGGGACGCGUGCCGGCCGUGUGCACUUUCCGUGGGCAGAGCGCCACGACCGGUUUCUGGGCGGUCAGAAGGCGGCGAGGAUGGUAGGCGCGCGCCUCGGUGCGCGCUGGUAUAGCCUCGCCUGUCCCGAUCCGCCUGGGGACCGAGGAGCCGCCGUGGGCUGGGGCCGCCUCGCCCUCCCGGGACGUUCGACUGGCAGAGACUGGGUGACCGUGUCUGCCGACCGCUUCCUGGGACGGACUGGGGUGGGCCCGCCCUCACAGGGUCAGUGGCGAAUCGGUCGGCCCUCCACCCGACCCGUCUUGAAACACGGACCAAGGAGUCUAACAUGCGCGCGAGUCGUUGGGUCGUACGAAACCCGAAGGCGAAGUGAAAGCGAGGGCCGUCUCUGACGUGCUCAGGUGGGAUCCUGGUCCCUCUGCGGGCUGGGCGCACCACCGGCCCGUCUCGUCCGCGCUGU